rnacentral:rRNA from 1 species
AUACGGAGGAUCCGAGCGUUAUCCGGAUUUAUUGGGUUUAAAGGGUGCGCAGGCGGGAGGUUAAGUCGGCGGUGAAAUUUUUCAGCUCAACUGGUAAAGAGCCUUCGAAACUGGUUUCCUUGAGUGUAGAUGAAGGGGGCGGAAUUUGUGGUGUAGCGGGGAAAUGCAUAGAUAUCACGAGGAACUCCGAUUGCGCAGGCAGCUUACUAAACUACUACUGACGCUCAGGCACGAAGGCGUGGGGAUCAAACAGGAUUAGAUACCCUGGUAGUCCACGCAGUAAACGAUGAUUACUAGCUGUUUGCGAUACAAUGUAAGCGGCUGAGCGAAAGCGUUAAGUAAUCCACCUGGGGAGUACGUUCGCAAGAAUGAAACUCAAAGGAAUUGACGGGG